rnacentral:rRNA from 1 species
AGCAGCCGCCGCGGUAAUACGAAGGGGGCUAGCGUUGUUCGGAAUUACUGGGCGUAAAGCGCACGUAGGCGGACAUUUAAGUCAGGGGUGAAAUCCCGGGGCUCAACCCCGGAACUGCCUUUGAUACUGGGUGUCUAGAGUAUGGAAGAGGUGAGUGGAAUUCCGAGUGUAGAGGUGAAAUUCGUAGAUAUUCGGAGGAACACCAGUGGCGAAGGCGGCUCACUGGUCCAUUACUGACGCUGAGGUGCGAAAGCGUGGGGAGCAAACAGGAUUAGAUACCCCUGUAGUCCCUGUCUCUUAUAC